GUGAAUUCUUUUUUCUCUUCGGAGAGUGCAGCUUGGGCCCUCGUGCCCAAGUUGUGAAUACACAUCCUUUACACCUGUGAACUGUCUGUCAAGAACAAGGCUUCGGCUUUGGACUUGUACAUUUUACCAAACUUACUCUGUAAAAAAUGUCAUCUUAUUAUAAACUUAAUA
rnacentral:misc_RNA from 1 species